UGUUGGGGUUGUAGGACACUCUAUACGGAGUUACAAAGGACGACAUUAGACGAAUCAUCUGGAAAGAUGAAUCAAAGAAGGUAAUAAUCCUGUAGUCGAAAAUGUUGUCUCUCUUGAGUGGAUCCUGAGUACGACGGAGCACGUGAAAUUCCGUCGGAAUCUGGGAGGACCAUCUCCUAAGGCUAAAUACUCUCUAGUGACCGAUAGUGAACCAGUACCGUGAGGGAAAGGUGAAAAGCACCCCGGAAGGGGAGUGAAAUAGAACCUGAAACCGUGUGCUUACAAGUAGUCAGAGCCCGUUAAUGGGUGAUGGCGUGCCUUUUGUAGAAUGAACCGGCGAGUUACGAUUUGAUGCAAGGUUAAGCAGUAAAUGUGGAGCCGUAGCGAAAGCGAGUCUGAAUAGGGCGUUUAGUAUUUGGUCGUAGACCCGAAACCAGGUGAUCUACCCUUGGUCAGGUUGAAGUUCAGGUAACACUGAAUGGAGGACCGAACCGACUUACGUUGAAAAGUGAGCGGAUGAACUGAGGGUAGCGGAGAAAUUCCAAUCGAACCUGGAGAUAGCUGGUUCUCUCCGAAAUAGCUUUAGGGCUAGCCUCAAGUGAUGAUUAUUGGAGGUAGAGCACUGUUUGGACGAGGGGCCCCUCUCGGGUUACCGAAUUCAGACAAACUCCGAAUGCCAAUUAAUUUAACUUGGGAGUCAGAACAUGGGUGAUAAGGUCCGUGUUCGAAAGGGAAACAGCCCAGACCACCAGCUAAGGUCCCAAAAUAUAUGUUAAGUGGAAAAGGAUGUGGCGUUGCCCAGACAACUAGGAUGUUGGCUUAGAAGCAGCCAUCAUUUAAAGAGUGCGUAAUAGCUCACUAGUCGAGUGACACUGCGCCGAAAAUGUACCGGGGCUAAACAUAUUACCGAAGCUGUGGAUUGUCCUUUGGACAAUGGUAGGAGAGCGUUCUAAGGGCGUUGAAGCAUGAUCGUAAGGACAUGUGGAGCGCUUAGAAGUGAGAAUGCCGGUGUGAGUAGCGAAAGACGGGUGAGAAUCCCGUCCACCGAUUGACUAAGGUUUCCAGAGGAAGGCUCGUCCGCUCUGGGUUAGUCGGGUCCUAAGCUGAGGCCGACAGGCGUAGGCGAUGGAUAACAGGUUGAUAUUCCUGUACCACCUAUAAUCGUUUUAAUCGAUGGGGGGACGCAGUAGGAUAGGCGAAGCGUGCGAUUGGAUUGCACGUCUAAGCAGUAAGGCUGAGUAUUAGGCAAAUCCGGUACUCGUUAAGGCUGAGCUGUGAUGGGGAGAAGACAUUGUGUCUUCGAGUCGUUGAUUUCACACUGCCGAGAAAAGCCUCUAGAUAGAAAAUAGGUGCCCGUACCGCAAACCGACACAGGUAGUCAAGAUGAGAAUUCUAAGGUGAGCGAGCGAACUCUCGUUAAGGAACUCGGCAAAAUGACCCCGUAACUUCGGGAGAAGGGGUGCUCUUUAGGGUUAACGCCCAGAAGAGCCGCAGUGAAUAGGCCCAAGCGACUGUUUAUCAAAAACACAGGUCUCUGCUAAACCGUAAGGUGAUGUAUAGGGGCUGACGCCUGCCCGGUGCUGGAAGGUUAAGAGGAGUGGUUAGCUUCUGCGAAGCUACGAAUCGAAGCCCCAGUAAACGGCGGCCGUAACUAUAACGGUCCUAAGGUAGCGAAAUUCCUUGUCGGGUAAGUUCCGACCCGCACGAAAGGCGUAACGAUUUGGGCACUGUCUCAACGAGAGACUCGGUGAAAUCAUAGUACCUGUGAAGAUGCAGGUUACCCGCGACAGGACGGAAAGACCCCGUGGAGCUUUACUGUAGCCUGAUAUUGAAAUUCGGCACAGCUUGUACAGGAUAGGUAGGAGCCUUUGAAACGUGAGCGCUAGCUUACGUGGAGGCGCUGGUGGGAUACUACCCUAGCUGUGUUGGCUUUCUAACCCGCACCACUUAUCGUGGUGGGAGACAGUGUCAGGCGGGCAGUUUGACUGGGGCGGUCGCCUCCUAAAAGG
rnacentral:rRNA from 1 species